GACGAACGCUGGCGGCGUGCUUAACACAUGCAAGUCGAACGGUAAGGCCCUUCGGGGUACACGAGUGGCGAACGGGUGAGUAACACGUGGGUGAUCUGCCCUGCACUUCGGGAUAAGCCUGGGAAACUGGGUCUAAUACCGGAUAGGACCACUGCCUGCAUGGGUGGUGGUGGAAAGCUUUUGCGGUGUGGGAUGGGCCCGCGGCCUAUCAGCUUGUUGGUGGGGUGAUGGCCUACCAAGGCGACGACGGGUAGCCGGCCUGAGAGGGUGACCGGCCACACUGGGACUGAGAUACGGCCCAGACUCCUACGGGAGGCAGCAGUGGGGAAUAUUGCACAAUGGGCGCAAGCCUGAUGCAGCGACGCCGUGUGAGGGAUGACGGCCUUCGGGUUGUAAACCUCUUUCAGCACCGACGAAGCGCAAGUGACUGUAGGUGCAGAAGAAGGACCGGCCAACUACGUGCCAGCAGCCGCCGUAA
rnacentral:rRNA from 1 species